GCCCAGGUAGCUCAGUAGGUAGAGCGCCACGCUGUUAACGUGGUGGUCCCAGGUUCGAAUCCUGGUCUGGGCG
rnacentral:tRNA from 1 species